UCUUCAAAUUGUUAUUAACCAGCAAGACCCUUUUACUUUCAUAUGCAGAAGUAAAGAGCUGUGUAGUUGUUUUUUUUUUUCUCCUAUUAUUUAUUUUAUUUUUAAACAAAGCAACCUAGAGAGAUAAAGAUUUGUUUCCUUCCUUUAGAGACCAAUGGUUGUUUUCUACUCAGGUCACGCCAGAGAUUGAGGGUAAAAAGAAAAAAAAAAGAAUUUUUAAUAGUGCUGAAUUGACUAUUUUUGUUCAUUUUACAGUAUCAUGCUUCUCUGACAUGUUUACUUUACAAAUGCUUCAGCUCAUGGCCAUGACUUAUUUUGAAUGGUAAAGUAUAUAAUUAAUGUCAAGGUGAAAGGCGAUUAUGCUUGUGAACACUCCUCUAUGCCCUCCAGAAACCACUUAUGAAGCCAAUUUAGGUCACACAUGGUUCAGUCUCUCGGAAAUCUUUCUUAGUAAAGCCCCGAGGCACUCUCUUUUACUGAGCAAUUAACAGAAAGCCAGCUCCUUGUGCUAUUGUGGGGAAAUGAUAAUUUGUGGAGAAGGGGGAAGGACUGUCUAAGACACACAAAUGUUUCUUCAUAUAGCUCUCUUGAAAGCUGAAAAUGCAAUUUAAAUGGGCAGUUAAGGUAGAGAGCAACAAACGUCCAAAAUGCCAGAAUGGAAGUGCUUAUUUGUUAAAUACAGUAUUUUGAGGCUUUCCAUCACCUUCUGUUAAAUUUUUCCUGGCUAUUUGAACAGAUGUUUCUGAAGAAACCCCCUCGGCAAGCCACGCUGCAAAGGAAUAGUUCCCAGAUCUUGGCAUAUCUGGAUGUACUGCUGCACCCUGAAACCUCUGUGCAGAUGACAUCAUCUCCUGAACACGGAGUUGCUGUAGACCUCACCACCGAGGUGAAUUUGUUACUGCCACUCACUAGAGAGAGAAGGAGCUCCCGCACUGUUGGCUGAGGUUACCUGUCCUGUGCCUGUUUGGCUCACAGGGGAUGUGGGACAGAGAUCUGCAGGUGUCUCAGUACUCAGGAGCCUUAUCUCCAAGGAGAUUUUUUUUUUAAAGAGCUUCUCAGGGAGCUACAGCAUUUCCCCUGUCACAGACAAUGAGUCAUGCAGAGCUGCUUUAACAAAAAAGAAUUUGCAGUAAUCUGGAUGUAAUGGUUUUCUUUCACAGGAAAUAAUGAACAAGAAUUCAGUUCAGCUGUUUAUAACAGCGAUCAGAGGGACUUCUCUGGCUAUUAUGGCAGUUCAGGGUGUAAGGCAGUCCAGUUAACGUGCCAGAAAAGAAAUAAUAAAGAUUUCAAGAGCACAGUCA
rnacentral:lncRNA from 1 species